rnacentral:rRNA from 1 species
AGUCGAACGCUUCUUUCCUCCCGAGUGCUUGCACUCAAUUGGAAAGAGGAGUGGCGGACGGGUGAGUAACACGUGGGUAACCUACCCAUCAGAGGGGGAUAACACUUGGAAACAGGUGCUAAUACCGCAUAACAGUUUAUGCCGCAUGGCAUAAGAGUGAAAGGCGCUUUCGGGUGUCGCUGAUGGAUGGACCCGCGGUGCAUUAGCUAGUUGGUGAGGUAACGGCUCACCAAGGCCACGAUGCAUAGCCGACCUGAGAGGGUGAUCGGCCACACUGGGACUGAGACACGGCCCAGACUCCUACGGGAGGCAGCAGUAGGGAAUCUUCGGCAAUGGACGAAAGUCUGACCGAGCAACGCCGCGUGAGUGAAGAAGGUUUUCGGAUCGUAAAACUCUGUUGUUAGAGAAGAACAAGGACGUUAGUAACUGAACGUCCCCUGACGGUAUCUAACCAGAAAGCCACGGCUAACUACGUGCCAGCAGCCGCGGUAAUACGUAGGUGGCAAGCGUUGUCCGGAUUUAUUGGGCGUAAAGCGAGCGCAGGCGGUUUCUUAAGUCUGAUGUGAAAGCCCCCGGCUCAACCGGGGAGGGUCAUUGGAAACUGGGAGACUUGAGUGCAGAAGAGGAGAGUGGAAUUCCAUGUGUAGCGGUGAAAUGCGUAGAUAUAUGGAGGAACACCAGUGGCGAAGGCGGCUCUCUGGUCUGUAACUGACGCUGAGGCUCGAAAGCGUGGGGAGCAAACAGGAUUAGAUACCCUGGUAGUCCACGCCGUAAACGAUGAGUGCUAAGUGUUGGAGGGUUUCCGCCCUUCAGUGCUGCAGCAAACGCAUUAAGCACUCCGCCUGGGGAGUACGACCGCAAGGUUGAAACUCAAAGGAAUUGACGGGGGCCCGCACAAGCGGUGGAGCAUGUGGUUUA